rnacentral:rRNA from 1 species
CCACCACCAAAGCAUUUGCUGUACCGCGUUGACGGAGCGAAGCGACGUCAAACCGAUAAAACAGCAGUGUAAAGUGAGCCGCAGGGCGCUUUGCGCGACAGCGCAAAGGCAGGCGGUUUCGCGUAGCGAAAGCGAAUGCUUUGGGGUGGGGUGACUGCGUACCUUUUGUAUAAUGGGUCAGCGACUUAUAUUCUGUAGCAAGGUUAACCGAAUAGGGGAGCCGGAGGGAAACCGAGUCUUAAUUGGGCGUUAAGUUGCAGGGUAUAGACCCGAAACCCGGUGAUCUAGCCAUGGGCAGGUUGAAGGUUGGGUAACACUAACUGGAGGACCGAACCGACUAAUGUUGAAAAAUUAGCGGAUGACCUGUGGCUGGGGGUGAAAGGCCAAUCAAACCGGGAGAUAGCUGGUUCUCCCCGAAAGCUAUUUAGGUAGCGCCUCGUGAAUUCAUCUCCGGGGGUAGAGCACUGUUUCGGCUAGGGGGCCAUCCCGGCUUACCAACCCGAUGCAAACUGCGAAUACCGGAGAAUGUUAUCACGGGAGACACACGGCGGGUGCUAACGUCCGUCGUGAAGAGGGAAACAACCCAGACCGCCAGCUAAGGUCCCAAAGUCAUGGUUAAGUGGGAAACGAUGUGGGAAGGCCCAGACAGCCAGGAUGUUGGCUUAGAAGCAGCCAUCAUUUAAAGAAAGCGUAAUAGCUCACUGGUCGAGUCGGCCUGCGCGGAAGAUGUAACGGGGCUAAACCAUGCACCGAAGCUGCGGCAGCGACACUGUGUGUUGUUGGGUAGGGGAGCGUUCUGUAAGCCUGUGAA